GUCGAGCGGAUGAAGUGAGCUUGCUCAUGGAUUCAGCGGCGGACGGGUGAGUAAUGCCUAGGAAUCUGCCUGGUAGUGGGGGACAACGUUUCGAAAGGAACGCUAAUACCGCAUACGUCCUACGGGAGAAAGCAGGGGACCUUCGGGCCUUGCGCUAUCAGAUGAGCCUAGGUCGGAUUAGCUAGUUGGUGAGGUAAUGGCUCACCAAGGCUACGAUCCGUAACUGGUCUGAGAGGAUGAUCAGUCACACUGGAACUGAGACACGGUCCAGACUCCUACGGGAGGCAGCAGUGGGGAAUAUUGGACAAUGGGCGAAAGCCUGAUCCAGCCAUGCCGCGUGUGUGAAGAAGGUCUUCGGAUUGUAAAGCACUUUAAGUUGGGAGGAAGGGUUGUAGAUUAAUACUCUGCAAUUUUGACGUUACCGACAGAAUAAGCACCGGCUAACUCUGUGCCAGCAGCCGCGGUAAUACAGAGGGUGCAAGCGUUAAUCGGAAUUACUGGGCGUAAAGCGCGCGUAGGUGGUUCGUUAAGUUGGAUGUGAAAUCCCCGGGCUCAACCUGGGAACUGCAUCCAAAACUGGCGAGCUAGAGUAUGGUAGAGGGUGGUGGAAUUUCCUGUGUAGCGGUGAAAUGCGUAGAUAUAGGAAGGAACACCAGUGGCGAAGGCGACCACCUGGACUGAUACUGACACUGAGGUGCGAAAGCGUGGGGAGCAAACAGGAUUAGAUACCCUGGUAGUCCACGCCGUAAACGAUGUCAACUAGCCGUUGGGAGCCUUGAGCUCUUAGUGGCGCAGCUAACGCA
rnacentral:rRNA from 1 species